UACGUAGGGGGGCAAGCGUUGUCCGGAUUUAUUGGGCGUAAAGAGCGUGUAGGCGGCCAGGUAGGUCUGCUGUGAAAACUCGAGGCUUAACCUCGAGCUGUCGGCGGAAACCAUCUGGCUAGAGUCCGGAAGAGGAGAAUGGAAUUCCCGGUGUAGCGGUGAAAAUGCGUAGAUAUCGUAAGGAAGACCAGUGGCGAAGGCGGGUCUCUGGACAGUUCCUGACGCUGAGGCACGAAGGCCAGGGGAGCAAACGGGGA
rnacentral:rRNA from 1 species